rnacentral:rRNA from 1 species
CCCUACGGGGUGCAGAAGGCGCGAAACCUUUACAAUGCACGCAAGUGUGAUAGGGGAAUCCCAAGUGCUUAUGCUUUGCAUAGGCUUUUGCCAAGGUUAAAACCCUUGGCGAAUAAGUGGUGGGUAAGACUGGUGCCAGCCGCCGCGGUAACACCAGCGCCACGAGUGGCAAUCGUUUUUAUUGGGCCUAAAGCGUCCGUAGCCGGUUUGGCAAAUCUUUUGUGAAAUCGUCAGGCUUAACUUGACGGAUUGCAGGAGACACUACCAAACUAGGGACCGGGAGGAGUCAGAAGUAUUCCGGGGGGACCGGUAAAAUGGUAUAAUCCCCGGAGGACUACCGAUGGCGAAGGCAUCUGACUAGAACGGAUCCGACGGUGAGGGACGAAAGCCAGGGGAGCAAACCGGAUUAGAUACCCGAGUAGUCCUGGCCGUAAACGCUGCGAGUUAGGUGUUGCAUAAACUACGGGUUUAUGCAGUGUCGAAAAGAAGUUGUUAAACUCGCCGCCUGGGAAGUACGGUCGCAAGACUGAAACUUUAAGGAAUUGGCGGGGGAGCAC